rnacentral:rRNA from 1 species
UUGAUCCUGGCUCAGGAUGAACGCUAGCGGCAGGCCUAACACAUGCAAGUCGAGGGGUAACAGAAGUAGCAAUACUUGCUGACGACCGGCGCACGGGUGAGUAACGCGUAUGCAACCUACCUUUGACUGGAGAAUAGCCCGAAGAAAUUCGGAUUAAUGCUCCAUGAGACCACAAUACCGCAUGAUAUAGUGGUAAAAGCUCCGGCGGUCAAAGAUGGGCAUGCGUGCCAUUAGUUAGUUGGUGAGGUUACGGCUCACCAAGACAACGAUGGCUAGGGGGUCUGAGAGGAUGAUCCCCCACACUGGUACUGAGACACGGACCAGACUCCUACGGGAGGCAGCAGUGAGGAAUAUUGGUCAAUGGACGCAAGUCUGAACCAGCCAUGCCGCGUGCAGGAUGAAUGCCCUAUGGGUUGUAAACUGCUUUUCUACAAGAAGAAACUUCCUGAUGUAUCAGGAACUGACGGUAUUGUAGGAAUAAGCAUCGGCUAACUCCGUGCCAGCAGCCGCGGUAAUACGGAGGAUGCAAGCGUUAUCCGGAUUCAUUGGGUUUAAAGGGUGCGUAGGCGGGGUAGUAAGUCAGUGGUGAAAGCCUGCGGCUUAACCGUAGAAUUGCCAUUGAUACUGCUAUUCUUGAGUGCAGUUGAGGUAGGCGGAAUGUGUAAUGUAGCGGUGAAAUGCUUAGAUAUUACACAGAACACCGAUUGCGUAGGCAGCUUACUAAACUGUAACUGACGCUGAGGCACGAAAGCGUGGGGAGCGAACAGGAUUAGAUACCCUGGUAGUCCACGCUGUAAACUAUGAUCACUCGCUGUUGGCGAUACAUUGUCAGCGGCUGAGCGAAAGCAUUAAGUGAUCCACCUGGGGAGUACGGCCGCAAGGUUGAAACUCCAAGGAAUUGACGGGGGCCCGCACAAGCGGUGGAACAUGUGGCUUAAUUCGAUGAUACGCG